rnacentral:rRNA from 1 species
AUAGCGUAUACUAAAGUUGUUGCGGUUAAAAAGCUCGUAGUUGGAUCUUGGAAUGUGUUCAAGCGGGUCAGCUUCUGGCUGUUCGCUGCUUGACGUGUUCUUCUAUUUGGUUUUGGUGCGGUGCGCUUAACUGCGUGUCACUCCCGGCCGAAACGUUUACCUUGAAAAAAUUAGAGUGUUCAAAACAGACCUGUUUGAGUCUGAAUAUUCGUGCAUGGAAUAAUGAAAUAUGAAUUCGGUUCUAUUUUGUUGGUUUUCGGAACUCGAGUUAAUGAUCAAGAGGGACAGACGGGGGCAUUCGUACUCUGCCGUUAGAGGUGAAAUUCUUGGAUCGGCGGAAGACGCGCAACUGCGAAAGCAUUUGCCAAGAAUGUUUUCUUUAACCAAGAACGAUAGUCGGAGGUUCGAAGACGAUCAGAUACCGUCCUAGUUUCGACUGUAAACUAUGCCUGCUAACGAUCAGACAGAGUUCUCUACGACUUGUCUGGCAGUUUCCGGGAAACCAAAGCGUUUGGGUUCCGGGGGAAGUAUGGUUGCAAAGCUGAAACUU